ACUGGGAGCAGCUCUCCUGCCACAGCUCCUCAUCCCCUGAAAAUGUAUGCCUGUGCCAAGUUUAUCUCCUCCCCCCUCCUUGGUCGGGAGCACCUCUCAGCUGCUGAGCCGAUCACUGCCUGCAAUGGUGCUGAAAUAACCAGAGACACUGACAGAUGACAGCCUCAACAGCUUGGCAGCCUGACAUCCCCUGACUUCACUUAUUUCUAGCUGCAGCUUCCAAACCAGCGCCAUUUCAAGGGACAGCAACACAGCAACCAAGUUCUUUGGGGCUGGGGCUGCCACAAUAGGGGUGGCUGACUCUGAGGCUGGAACUGGGACUUUUCCAAUUCAGAGCCUCAUCAUUGGUUAUGCCAGGAACCCUUCUCUGAAGCAACAGUUCUUCCCUCACACCAUUCUGGGCUUUGACCUCUCAGAGGCCAUGGGGCCUUUUUGCCUGAUGGUGGCCUUUCUCAUCCUCUUCACCAUGUAA